rnacentral:piRNA from 1 species
CCCUCGAAGUAGUGUAGAUUGUUGCCA